rnacentral:rRNA from 1 species
GACAGCCAGGAUGUUGGCUUAGAAGCAGCCAUCAUUUAAAGAAAGCGUAAUAGCUCACUGGUCGAGUCGGCCUGCGCGGAAGAUGUAACGGGGCUAAACCAUGCACCGAAGCUGCGGCAGCGACACUAUGUGUUGUUGGGUAGGGGAGCGUUCUGUAAGCCUGUGAAGGUGUGCUGUGAGGCAUGCUGGAGGUAUCAGAAGUGCGAAUGCUGACAUAAGUAACGAUAAAGCGGGUGAAAAGCCCGCUCGCCGGAA